rnacentral:rRNA from 1 species
UAAAGUCGUAACAAGGUUUCCGUAGCACAAGUCUACGAAGAACAGUAAUGUCCUUCUGCAGAGUACACUUGCAGAAGCCUUAGUAGCCCGAAAGGGUUUCAUCAACGACUCUAAACAAGUAGGUGAAUUAAAUGCUAGUCUCUUUAUGAGGCAACACUAUCAAAUUGCGGGAAGAUCCUGUCAUGUCCACAUCACCGCGGCUCACCGAAAGGUGCAGUGCAGCACCAGGCUAACAACCUUGGGUAAGGUAAUAGUAUGUGGAAUAGGGAGAAUCUGCAGCCAAGCCCCUUUGUGGGGUGCAGUUCACAGGCCAAAUGGUAGUGGGCACUCUCAAGUGCUUAAGAUAUGGUCGAGUCCCAAUUGGAAAAUUGGGUACAAGUACUCUUGUUAAAUGCAAAUGUUCCGUAGGUGAACCUGCGGAAGGAUCAUUAAUGAAUUAUAAGUCGGUCGUCUGUGCUGGUGGCAACACAUGUGCACGUCAAUCGCAAAUCCACACACCUGUGCACUUUUGACUUUGGGAUCCGCUUGUUGGCUUGUCUGACUUGCAGCUGGUUUGGUCUUGCACCUGGCCUGGGUCUCAGAGUAAUUUUUACACACUCUGAAUGUAAUGGAAUGUCUUGUGCAUAAUGCAUAUAAAAACAACUUUCAACAACGGAUCUCUUGGCUCUCGCACCGAUGAAGAACGCAGCGAAAUGCGAUAAGUAAUGUGAAUUGCAGAAUUCAGUGAAUCAUCGAAUCUUUGAACGCACCUUGCACCUUUUGGUAUUCCGAAAGGUACACCCGUUUGAGUGUCAUUGUAAUCUCACUCCUUCAACUUUUGUUGCUGGAUGUGGACUUGGACUCUGUCGUGUUACAACGACUGGUCUGAAAUGCCUGAGUGCACCCUGCUGUUGCAGCGUCUUCAGUGUGAUAAGCAUCUUCAUUGAUUCAAGUUCCUUUGGGACACGUAGCAUUGUGGGCUCCGUGCUGAUGAACCGUCUUUGGACAAUCUUUGACAAUUUGACCUCAAAUCGGGUGGGACUACCCGCUGAACUUAAGCAUAUCAAUAAGCGGAGGAAAAGAAACU